rnacentral:rRNA from 1 species
GAUGAACGCUGGCGGCGUGCCUAACACAUGCAAGUCGAGCGAAGCGCUUAAAUUAGAUUUCUUCGGAAUGACGAUUUUUGUGACUGAGCGGCGGACGGGUGAGUAACGCGUGGGUAACCUGCCUCAUACAGGGGGAUAACAGGUAGAAAUGACUGCUAAUACCGCAUAAGACCCCAGCUUCGCAUGAAGCGGUGGUAAAAACUCCGGUGGUAUGAGAUGGACCCGCGUCUGAGUAGCUAGUUGGUAAGGUAACGGCGUACCAAGGGGACGAUCAGUAGCCGACCUGAGAGGGUGACCGGCGACAUUGGCACUAGGACACGGCCCAGACUCCUACGGGAGGCAGGAGUGGGGAAUAUUGCACAAUGGGGGAAACCCUGAUGCAGCGACGCCGCGUGAAGGAUGAAGUAUUGAGGUAUGUAAACUUCUAUCAGCAGGGAAGAAAGUGACGGUACCUGACGAAGAAGCCCCGGCUAACUACGUG